CCUACGGGAGGCUGCAGUGGGGAAUAUUGCACAAUGGGGGAGACCCUGAUGCAGCGACGCCGCGUGAGUGAAGACGUAUUUCGGUAUGUAAAGCUCUAUCAGUAGGGAAGAAAAAAGACGGUACCUGACUAAGAAGCCCCGGCUAACUACGUGCCAGCAGCCGCGGUAAUACGUAGGGGGCAAGCGUUAUCAGGAUUUACUGGGUGUAAAGGGAGCGUUGACGGGGCGGCAAGGCUGAGGGGAAAGGCAGGGGCUUAACCCCUGAGCCGCCUUGGAAACUGCCAUGCUAGAGUGCUGGAGAGGUAAGUGGAAUUCCUAGUGUAGCGGUGAAAUGCGUAGAUAUUAGGAGGAACACCAGUGGCGAAGGCAGCUUACUGGACAGUAACUGACGUUGAGGCUCGAAAGCGUGGGGAGCGAACAGGAUUAGAUACCCGGGUAGUC
rnacentral:rRNA from 1 species